CCUUACCUGCAGGUGCAGUUGGAAAUUCUUGCUAAGCGAUCCAGAGGCUUUAGAAAGUCAAGGAAGCUGAAAGAGCCGAAAAACUGCAGUGAGAUUUAGAGAAGCUUCAUUUGAAACUUCAGACUAAAGCAGGGUUACCGCUGGAAGUGAUUUGUAAUUGAAGAAAUGGAGUAGAAUACGGGAAGCACUUGCAGCACUGCUUUCACAAUUCCUCGGUAUUUCUAAAGGAGUUUUAAACUCUAAAUUAGUCAAGAAAUUUGGUGGUCAAAAUUUCCUAGGCUGGAGGAAAGAGGUCUUGAUGGGAUUAAGGGAUUUGUGUCCCAAAAGGUGUUAUACAUACAUCAGGUCUUCCAAAGGUGGCAAUGUCUGGCUAAACAAGCAGCAAGCCUGAACCAGCAAGGAAUGCAGCCCAGGCUUUGUGGCUUCAGGCAAUGAAGAGGCUGAUAAGAAAAUGAGGGAAUGCAAGUGCCAGAGUGCCUGGAGCCCCGGGAUAAGGAUAUCGUGAGGAAGUUGUUCCCUGCAGGAAGGCUGCAGCUGAGCUGCUCUCAGGAGCUCCAGUCCUCGAAUGAGGUUAAUGCUAAAUGGUUUCUCACUGGGGCUUCUCACAUCAAGUUCUGCUUGUGGACCUGGCUCCUUCUGCCAACAGUAAUUUUGGGAAUGGCACUCAGGGAGAUUCCAAAUGCCAGUUGUGCUGUGGCUGACCUACAGAGAAAAACUCACCUGGACAGGGUGAGAAGGGAUUAUUUUGUGAAUUGCUGUUAUACUGACACUGGGAGUUACUGCUGUGCAGGAACCACAAACACUUCAAUUUAGUCACAAUGACCCUGAGUAAAGACAAAUCCUGGCUGUUCUUGCCAGCCAAGAAGAAAAUAUCAUCAGCUACUGGUUCGAAUUUUUUCCUUUUUCUUGUUUGCUGCAAGUAAAUGUACUUUGAGGCUGCUUGAUUGGAGCAGAAGUGAUGGAUUAAGCUAUUCUGGAAGGGAUGCCCAGAUUCUUUUCCAUCUGAUCCUGAAUAUCCAUGCAGAAUGUUUUUCUUCUGUAUCGAGUAGGACACAGAAAGAGAGAUUGUAUUCCUGGGAAAAGUAAAAGUUUUGAAUAAAUUUUCUUUUUGCUCUAAGGAAAAUCUGCAUGCAUUCAGUUAUUUUAGAAACCAGCACAGAAUUCUUGAUUUCAUCUCUAUCAUGUCAGUAAGCUUAGUUACCAUGCCAGGAAAAGCAUGGCUGGUUUUAGAGGUGCUGAUAUUCUCAUGGAUCUUUCAUGGCUUUAAAUAUUUAAUCCCUGCUUAUAAUUCUCAAAAUCACUUUAAAACAAACAUUAUCAAUGCUUUUAUGUGAUAAGGAAUAGUUGAAAUAUCAUAAUUUGCCAUGGAAACAUCUUAAAUUUCAUGAGAGGACGAAGGAG